UUGCUUUGACAGCAAAUAUACUAAAAUUAGAAUAACACAGAGAAGUUUAGCAUUGCCCCACACAAAGGCGACACAAAUUUUUUUUAAAAAAUGACAGGGUGAU